CCUACGGGUGGCAGCAGUGAGGAAUAUUGGUCAAUGGGCGGAAGCCUGAACCAGCCAAGUAGCGUGCAGGAUGACGGCCCUACGGGUUGUAAACUGCUUUUAUACGGGAAUAACGCGCCUUACGUGUAGGUCUUUGCAUGUACCGUAUGAAUAAGGACCGGCUAAUUCCGUGCCAGCAGCCGCGGUAAUACGGAGGGUCCGUGCGUUAUCCGGAUUUAUUGGGUUUAAAGGGAGCGUAGGCGGCAUGUCAAGCGUGCUGUGAAAGGUCCGGGCUCAACCCUGGCAUUGCAGGGGGAACUGGCGGGCUUGAGUGCGCGGGAGGCAGGCGGAAUUCGUAGUGUAGCGGUGAAAUGCUUAGAUAUGACGAAGAACCCCGAUUGCGAAGGCAGCUUACUGGAGCGGAACUGACGCUGAUGCUCGAAAGCGCGGGUAUCGAACAGGAUUAGAUACCCCAGUAGUC
rnacentral:rRNA from 1 species